UUUAAAGAAAGCGUAAUAGCUCACUGGUCGAGUCGGCCUGCGCGGAAGAUGUAACGGGGCUAAACCAUGCACCGAAGCUGCGGCAGCGACACUCAGGUGUUGUUGGGUAGGGGAGCGUUCUGUAAGCCUGCGAAGGUGGCCUGUGAGGGUUGCUGGAGGUAUCAGAAGUGCGAAUGCUGACAUAAGUAACGAUAAAGCGGGUGAAAAGCCCGCUCGCCGGAAGA
rnacentral:rRNA from 1 species